rnacentral:tRNA from 2 species
AGGAUUUUAUCUUAAUUUAAAGAGUUUGAGUUGCAUUCAUGAGAUGUAGGUUAAUAUCCUACAAGUCCUA